UUUCAAUAGAGGGUUUUCAGAGUUUCAUGGAAACACUGAGCGCUCUAAGAAUUUAAAAACUGCGCACUUCCGGACGGAAAGCCGUUACAAGGCUUUUCCUGGAAGUGCGCUAUAUGCGCGGGUC
rnacentral:sRNA from 1 species